rnacentral:lncRNA from 1 species
CUUGGCUGGAGACACCCUGUGGGUAAGUUUAGGGAGAGGUAAUAGGAGGGAGCAAUCUCAAUCUCUUCUCGUAGGGAGAAGCUAAUAAGGAAGUCAGGCCGGAAAGGCCAGCAAUAGGGAAAGGAAAUUCAACUUAAAAACUUGUGGUCGCGACUGUUUAAAAAAAAAAAAAAAGAGGCGGGGAUAGAAGGAGUAGGAAAAAUGGGGGAGAGGCAGGGGGAAAAGGGACUAGUAAAGGAAAACCAGAAGAGGAAGAAAGGAAGAGUGUGCUACGCAGGCUGCUGCUUCUCCUGUUCUUCCCCUCUCACUCCCUCCAAAGCCAGGAAAAGUUUGCAAGCGCAACAUUCGGGACGGGAGAGCGAGCUCUUCAUUCACAGACCCAGGAAGAGAAGCGCCCACCUCACCCUUCCCCAUUCGCGCCGCCUUGGGUUUCCCUCUCUCCGGAUGAUGGAGGGCAGCCGGCGCGACCCAGGGAGGCGGUAGCCCUGGCGGAUCCCCCGGAUCCCCCGCAGCUCGCUCGCUCUCCCGCAAAGCCACCCCUCCCUCCUCCAUCCUCCUCCCGGAAAGGAAAAAAGGAAAGGUCGAACCUCUAAACCGACCCCCCCCCCCCUUCCUGGGGGAGCUAACGCAGAAAGUACAGUUCUGUGAUUCACUGGAGAGAAAAGAGGGAGGAGGCAGCAAAGAACUCCGAGUGCCAAAACUAAGUAAGUUAGCUGACAAAACGCACGCAGCUUGCAGCGCCUCCGCCGGGUGCACCAACUCUGCGGAGACCAAGCGGGCUCGGUGUGGAGCGGCCACGGGGGCAGGGACCCCGCUGCGGUCCCCACGCGCUCCAGCGGCCCGGAGAAGAAAUCGCUGCCCGCAGUUCCUGCAAAGGAGGGGAGGUAGCGCCGGAGGGAGGUCAGGAAACGGCCUUCUCUCUCACUUCGCCGCCUGGUGAGUGUCGGGAAGAUUGACAAACGCCUUGGAGAGGACCGGGAGAAAGAGAGAGCCCUGUGAAAGUGCAGACGGUGAUCGGGCAGCCGGUCCGCUCCGGGCAGCGCCUCAUCUGCCCGGGUAAGAGCGAGGCGCGGCGGCUCAACUUCCCAGUGUUUUCCAGCCGAUGAUCAGGGAUUUAGAGAUGUGGGUUACCACGGAUCGGAGAUAAAGACUCCCACUCUUGACAAACUUGCUGCUGAAGGAGUUAAACUGGAGAACUACUAUGUCCAGCCUAUUUGCACACCGUCCAGGAGUCAGUUUAUUACUGGAAACAGAAUGAACUUCAAACUGUGAAGGAUUGAUGAAAUAUGAUUACUAGCAAAUAGAAGCCCAGG